AGAUGAGGUUGCGCAUUAAAAACGACUGGGUAUCAUCAGAUAAGCAGGUUGACAGCCGCAUGAACCCUCUCCAACCAUCUGGAGGCUUUCUGGUUUCAGUGGCCUCUAAUAAUCCGGUGACAGAGAGCUACAGCGUGUUUCCAGUUGGGAGCUGCUCUGAUUCCAUCUCCCAAAUAAAUGACUGUGAGGAGAUAAAGGGUGGUGGAAGACGAAGUGAUUGUGCGGGAGGAGAAGGGGGCCACCGUUCUUAGCAGAUAAGCAGGAAGAUUGUGUGUGUGUGUGUGUGUCUAUGUAGGGAAACAGAGAGAGGAAGCUCCUGAGGGCUCCACAUCUAGUCACCUUAUCAGCCACCAACACUUGGGCUUCAGAGCAGACCACCCUCCAGCCUCUACCUGAUUCAAGAAGAUAGGGCACUUUUGCGCCCCGGUUCUCCAGGAGUGAAACACUGGGAGGAAGCGCGCUGAAGAAAAGACUCUCCUCUACACCAGGCCUCCAAAGAAAAACCUUCUGCACGGGUCAGUAGCUUUGUUGCAUUUUGCCUGAAUGAAUAAUUGCACUUCUGUGGAAGAAAAUAUUUUUUUUCCUUUUACAAAGGGAGCUUAAUGUGAAUGGAUUUUAUGCUUCAGCUGUUCCCCAGACCUCCCUCCCCCAGCCCCUUCUCUCCCUCACACACAAACACACAUCACCCCGCUCCACAAACUUUCCUCCACUGUCUGCGGCAACAGU